CCAACAUAGUUGAUGAGGCCCAGGACCUGACGCAGUUCCUCGACACUUGUAGGACUGGCCAUUUGGGUGACUGCCUUCACCUUGCUGGGGUCCGGCCUCAGGCCAUCCGCACUGAUGAGGUGUCCAAAGUACUGAAUUUCUGACUUGCCAAAGUGGCAUUUGGCCCUGUUCAAUUUCAGUCCACUGUCUUUGACCGUCCUCAAAACUGCAUUCAGACUACGGUCAUGCUCCUCGGUCGUGGCUCCAUACACCAGAAUGUCGUCCAUCACUACGACAACCCCCUCGUGGUCCUUAAGCAGAGUGGACAUCUGUCUUUGAAAAAUUUCUGGGGCUGACGUUAUCCCGAAUGGGAGUCUACGGAAACAGAACCUGCCAAUGGGAGUAAUGAACGUUGUCAGCUUGCGGAUAUUCUCCUCCAACGGGAUUUGCCAAAAUCUGCAUGAAGAGUCGAGAGUGGAGAAUAUCUUUGCUCCAGCCAGCUUUGGAGCGAUGUCUUCAAGCGUUGGCAAAAUGUACCUCUCACGUUUUAUUGCCUUGUUCAGGCGUUUUAGGUCUACGCACACUCUUACUUCUUUGUUCUUCUUUUCGACAGGGACCAUCGGGGCACACCAAUCCGUGGGGUCCGUGACCUCCUCGAUUAUGCCAAUGGACAGCAUGCGUCGCAAUUCGGCUUCAACUUUUGGCAGGAGAGGAAACGGGACAUGGCGCAGCGUUGUCAGGGUGUAGGGCUCUGCAUCCGGCUUCAAUUCAAUCUUCACAGGGUCACACUUGAACAGGCCGAUGUCCCCAAACACACCCUCUAGCAGAUCUGAUGCAACAGCAUUGACUCUUAUCACCAGGCCCAUUCUCUUAGCGACACUGCGUCCCAGUAGACUAUGUGAGUACGGCCCCCUUAUAACAGUCACCCGGUACUUGUAAUGCUGUCCCUUGUAUGGACUUGUGGCAAGGAAUCUGCCAACACAUUGCACUUCACCUCCUGGGCUGGUAACGAGUGGUUUUGGCCCAGUCAUGACCAAUCGUGGGCGCCGCGCUAGCCUAUUGAAAGCAGUCUGUGACAUUACUGUGAUGUCUGCACCAGUGUCUAUUUUAAAUUCAACAGGACUGCCAUUUACAUGCAAUUCCACCAGCCACUAAUUUUCGGAGCCAGGCUGCUCAAUCACGUCUGUUGUCGCCUCCAUUACAGCACCAACGAAAAAUGCAUCUUCACUGUACUCCUCGGUACAGUCAGACGUGACAUUGACUUCUUUUAGUGAUUUACUUUGACAGACGGCCUCGAAGUGCCCUAAUUUGUUGCAUUUCCUGCAUCUCUUAUCUUUAGCUGGGCAGGGGCGUGCGUUCCCAUGCUGACCAUUGCAACGUGAACAGGCAAACUGCCUUGACUCACCCCUGUCGUCCCUUCUCUGCCACUGCGGUCUAUCCUUCGCGCCAUUUCUUCCAUUGGAUUGCCAUCUUCCCUGUCUCAUAGCAUCCACUGCACAGUCACUGUCAGCACGCAAACUCACGUUUUGCUGUUUUAUUUGCUCACUCUGACGAGUUAUUUGAAUUGCUUUCUCAAGCGACAGUUCUGGCUCCAACUGUAACUUUUCUGAAACUCCCGUGUCGGAGAUGCCAAUCACAAUCCUAUCCCUGAUUUGCUCGUCCUUGGUCACUCCGAACUCACAGUACUGUGCUAGCUCGUACAGGCCUCUGAUAAAAGCUUCAACAGGCUCACCAGGCUUUUGAACCCGCUGUUACGGUUGCGGAUUGACGCCCCGCCCUCAUGGGUAAAAUCCUCAGUUUGUCGAUGCUCAUGCUAAUGAUCAUGUGUUUUCCCCGCGUGUGAUUUGUUGACCGUUAUGCUAAUUUUGAUGUGCCUUUCCCCGGACGUGAUUGGCUGCUGCAUCGGAGGGCCGAGGAUCCUGGAGGAUAAAGCACGGGCGAGCUCAACAUUCACGGCAGCUGGCCUUGGAUAUGCAGCUUGCCAUAUUGGGUCUUGGAAUGAUUAUUUGUUGUUUAAUUGAGGCUCUAGUUUGCUACACGGGAACUGGGCCAGAGUUUUGUUUAGAGGUUAUCGAACACCGACUCGCAGCUAUACUUUUGUUAAAAACACUAGACGCAGGGGUGCUGUUCCACUCAUGUAUUUUGGGAGCUUCUUCUUGGUUACAUUCGUUUCUUUGAUUUGGACAGCACCCAAUGGUCCUUUUCUUUUUGUAGUUUUGCCUCCUCUGUUUGUGUUAGAUUGAUUAUCCCAUGCUCUGGGCUAAAUAAACAACUUCCAGUUGAACCAAAAACAUCUGGUAAUAUGUUGCCACUCCUUCCCCUAGCGGGGGACGUAACAUAAAUGGGGGCUCGUCCGGGAUACCUUUUAAACGGAUCCCUUAACUAAACUGACGUUUUACGUAGCUUGGUGGUUGGACGUAAUUUAAUUGAAAUGUCGCUGUUCGAUUUAGAGUCCUUCUUGGCCGGUCCCUCGCUUAGUCAAGUAGACCGCUGUCGGAAGGAUGAUUUGGCACAGAUAGCGGAUUAUUUCGGUGUGUCCUAUUCUAGACAAAUACUAAAAAGGGACCUAAAAGCUGGUGGUUAGCAAAUUGGUGGAGUUGGCGUUGAUAGUAUUGCCAGUGCAAGCAGACUCUGCUGUGCCUGAGGAUGGCACCCUGGCUAAGGAGGUGGGUCGCCAAAAGGUAGAGGUUGAACCUCACGGCGGUGCUCGAGCAGACUUUGGAGUGGACAUUGAGGUAGAUGAGCUGACCAAAACUCUGUAUACUCUGCCUCGCUAUGAUCCCCUCUCUUCUGCUGGUACUGGAUCCAGGGAUGUUGCUCGGCUAAAAGUCUGCCUUGCCCGCCUCCAACUAGAAGCUCAGGAAAAAGCAGAGAAUAGGCAAGUCCAGUUCCAGCUGGAAAUUAAGAAGCUGGAAAUUGAAGCUGACAAAGCGUUAUGAAAGCAUGCCCCGUGUAUUACGUUUCUCUUCGGCACAAAAUGCUUGUGAAACUUCUUUAUCACAAUGUCCUAAUCAUUCUCAGGGCUUACUUCGUCAUCAUCGUCUUCAAGGGCCACACUCCGGUCAAACACAGACGAAUCGUAUAUAGCCUCCGCCUCACUGCCCAUAGCAUAGAGAAGCGUGUUCACCUGUACUACACCUCUGUCCCGGUCUAGUUUCGUUGCCACUCGAUAGCGAUCAAAACGUCGGCGCCACAUCGGCCACUCAGCCGGAAGGGUGAAAUCAAACUUAUCUGGAGGUCCCAACUUCGCCAUUGUCACUUAAAAAAUCGUAAAUCGGCCACUUCUGACACCAUGUCAUGUGCGGAGGCAUUAACCGUGACUACCGUGUAGGUUUCAUUAAUAGAACAACCGGUUUAUUUCCGGACACAUGGAUAUGACGUCACAGGUAUGGCACUACGGUGGCCCAUACUUUCAUAUAUCACUACAGCAUGUACACCAAGUUUCCAAAUUUUAAUCCAUGGGUGCGGCCGUGCCCAAUCAUUUUAACCUAAAAUAUGAGUUAUAGCGUCUAUCGCAGAGAUAUGAGAAUAAACAAUCCGGAUUAUAAUAAAUGAGAAUCCUCACAAUAACAAUAGGUAUCCACAGAUACACAAGUCUGUGAAUACCUAAAUAUAUAAAUAAGACUUUCACAUUUCGAUACGCAUUUUAUAUAGUACCAGCCAAGAAAAGGGACUCGGGGAAACAGACGCCCAGUCUGCAGACUGUCAGGUCUGCAACGUGUACGUUCAAUGUACUGUCCGUAUGUACAACCAUUACCAGAGACAGCAGGGUCGGGUGCAUGCAGAACCAGAGACAGCAGGGUCGGGGUGCAUGCAGAAUUAGAACCAGAGACAGCAUGGUCGGGGUGCAAGCAGAACUAGAACCAGAGACAGCAGGGUCAGGGUGCAUGCAGAACUAGAACCAGAGGGUCGGGGGUGCAUGCAGAACUAGAACCCAGAGUGGUAGAUAUAACAGAGUGGCGACACUUCCAUUGGACUCCGUUGUAGCGCCUUCUUCCGGGGUAUGGAGCCUCGAAUAGUUCCAAACAGCAUUUACGGCGUAGGAGAUCAUUCAUUUCCAUUGCUGGCCGUCGAGUAACUUCUGAGUUGCCUUAUUAAGUCCUCCACAGUCGCCCCAUCAGUCCCUGGCAGUCUGGUCCCUGGAGCAGCUGGCCCUGGAUCACCUGGCCCUGGAUCACCUGCCCCUGGAUCACCUGCCCCUGAAUCACCUGCCCCUGGCAAAGUGGCCUCUUGAUUGCUCUCUCUGUCAUGUCCUUUUCAUCGCUCUUGAAAUCCACCUCAAUUUCUCCCUCAAUCUCUGUCACAAUUACAAGGUAAUGUUGCUGUUAUAUGUAUUUUGUCUUUGCAUUUGCAACUACUGUCAUCUCCAAUGUAAGGCAAUGUUAGAAAAUGUAUUAAAGCAAAACAUUUCUGUAAUGUGAAUUAAAUCAUCUGCCACAAUCAGAAACCAAUGAAAUAUAAAUGGAUCUACCGGCAAUUGUUAAUUGGGUAGAAAUGUGUCGAUUAUCUACAUUGUGUGCAAAUCCUCAGAGAAUCCCUGACCUCUGGUUGUUUCUUAAACUGAAUGUACAAAUAUGAAUUAUGUAAUCUCAUUAGGAGUGUAGUCUAUCCUUGAAUUACAUGAAAUGGGGAAUAUUGUUAGCUGCAUGGAUCAUACUGAAGUUUAAUUUGGCGCAAUAUGUGUGGUCCGUUGCACUUGGUUCUGGAGGCACCCUCACAGAAGGGGGUUUCCUCCUCUUCGGCUUAGGGCGAUGAAUGAAAACUGUUGGGACUGCAUCGGGCCUCAACUUCAACAUCCCUUCUCUUUUUGUGGCAGUGAAUUGGUCAUCUUCAAAGUGUACCUGUAGGUAGGCUUGUAAGAUCAGUUUCCAUUGCACUUCAAAUAUCAUUGAAAAGUCAUAAUUCUCUACACUUGGAAUCAUUAUGCCCUUUGAAAUGCUAUCAAGUGAUGUGAACAUUACUUACAUCACAUAGUUUUUGACUGUUGCUGACCCCUGUCACUUGUACGUUUUGACGGCUGACCAUUGCCAUCCAUUUCUUCCUGCGCUCUUGGUCCUUGGGGAAGCCAUACAUGUGGUAACCCUUCUCGGACCGAUUGGAGCAUCCAUACACUGCUCAGCCAACCAUGGUAUGACCAUUGAUCUAAACCAAUUUUGAAUUUGCUCAGGGCUAUUAUAAGUAUUGUAAUGGCAUAAAGUAUAGUAUAUUUGCAACGUUAUAUGUUAAUGGUUUGCCCUAAGUAUAUAGUGUUCUCUGCUGUGUCCAUUGUUGAAUCUGUUCACACAAUCGCACUCACUUGUUCUUGUCACACUAAUUGUUUAAUAAAAUAAAAUACUAUUUCAUUCA